rnacentral:rRNA from 1 species
UACGGAGGGUGCAAGCGUUAUCCGGAUUCACUGGGUUUAAAGGGUGCGUAGGUGGGCAGUUAAGUCAGUGGUGAAAUCUCCGGGCUUAACCCGGAAACUGCCAUUGAUACUAUCUGUCUUGAAUAUCGUGGAGGUAAGCGGAAUAUGUCAUGUAGCGGUGAAAUGCUUAGAUAUGACAUAGAACACCAAUUGCGAAAGGCAGCUUACUACCCGAAUAUUGACACUGAGGCACGAAAAGCGUGGGGGGAUCAAAACAGG